AGCGAACGCUGGCGGCAGGCCUAACACAUGCAAGUCGAACGGAUCCUUCGGGAUUAGUGGCGGACGGGUGAGUAACACGUGGGAACGUGCCCUUUGGUUCGGAACAACUCAGGGAAACUUGAGCUAAUACCGGAUGUGCCCUUCGGGGGAAAGAUUUAACGCCAUUGGAGCGGCCCGCGUCUUAUUAGCUAGUUGGUGAGGUAAAGGCGCACCAAGGCGACGAUCAGUAGCUGGUCUGAGAGGAUGAUCAGCCACACUGGGACUGAGACACGGCCCAGACUCCUACGGGAGGCAGCAGUGGGGAAUCUUGCGCAAUGGGCGAAAGCCUGACGCAGCCAUGCCGCGUGAAUGAUGAAGGUCUUAGGAUUGUAAAAUUCUUUCAGCGGGGACGAUAAUGACGGUACCCGCAGAAGAAGCUCCGGCUAACUUCGUG
rnacentral:rRNA from 1 species